UUAGAAAACCUCCAACUGAUGGGUGGUCGAGGACUUCCUCUUGUGGACACCAGCUUGAAAUAAAGCACCUGUCUUUAGUUUCUUCAGUGAAUUCUGGCGGCAAUAUCGCACAGUCGCCAGCGAUCAUGUCAGGUCUUAUGAUCCAUAAAAAUGGGUGACCACUUUUUGCAAGUCCCGUUCCAAAUUCAAUGAGCUGCUGCUUUGUAGCGACCGCUACGCUACCAAAAUUAACAUAAACGACUGAGUUGGGUUUCUGGGAAUCCAGCCAUUGGAGACACUCAACUUCUUCUUUCCAUAGAUUACAUCCAAUAGAAUUCAGAUCAUCUUCUUGAAUUUUAUUGAGAAGCAACUGAAGUGGACCAAUCGCAUAGACACGAGGAAACAUGGAGUAAAGGGCAUUCAGAACCUCUUGCUCCAAAGCAUCAAAAGUAUGGAAAAUAACGGCAGAACCUUCAGAAGCCCUCUCAGCACAUUCCACGCAGAAGUUAAACAUAAAAUCAUUUGGAUCUGUUGUUCGAACAAAACUGGGAAGGUCCCUUAACUUUAUAUCUCUCAUUCCUGGGAUCCAAUCUACCACUUUGUCCAAGUAGCCAUUUGUUAGAAAGCUCUCAUCUGCAAACAAAAAUUGAACGUACAUAUAGCUUUCAGUAUUGGAACUAUUUUUUUUCCUUAUAAACGUUAUGCUAGCAAGUGAAUAAAAAUGACUGAAGAAACAGAGAAAAAUAAAAUAAAUAUAAAGAAGGUUCCCUAGCUUGUGUCCUAGUGAAAAACAUGAAUAAUUAAGGGAAAUAGUAUACUUGUAGGAGAAAAUAUUCACGAGUACAACUCACCUGAAGUCCACUCAAAUAAUUAAUUAUGAGGGAAUAACUAUAAACAAAGUGAUUAUUGUAGAAAUCCUCUCUUUGUGAGUGUGGAUUAUUGAGCCUGACUGGUGCAAUAAUUUAUUUAUUUGGAGACAUUUCAAGCAACUCCAAAUCUUAAUGAAACUAUAGUUUUUUUUUUUCUUUGUCCAUACCUUUUAGUGGCGUAAGGCCUUUUUCUUUGAGUGCUUGAAAUUGUUCAAUCCCCAUGAAGCUGCAAGCAGAGAUAGUAAAGAACAACGCAAUAGGAAUUUCGUGCAUCUUAGCAGCAUCGAUAGCGACUGGCAUGAAACCAUCAGAGACGAUGCAAGUCACUGGGGGGGCAUCUGAAGAAGCUGUGUCAUUCAACUUGUCAAGCAGGUCAUUAAAUGGACCCAGCAAGUUCUUCCUGGAAGCCUCGCAAAUUGCAUACGUAUUCUGGGUGGCAUUCUCAUCCGAAGGAGGGAGGCCAUCCGGAAUGGAUUCAAACCGAAAAUCGGGCAAACCAUUCAUGGAAUCAGGACCUCUAGAUUUAAGUAAACGUCUGUGAUUGAACUCUGUAUUGACAAAGGUAAUGUGAAAACCUUUGUAAUGUAAUAGUUUUGCUAGUUUAAGAACUGACUUUAUGUGGCUCUGAGCUGGGGCGGGAAUGCAGACAGCAUGAGGCUUAUGAUCAGCUGAAAUAUUACAAGCCAUCUCUUUAAAUCCCCCCCUUUUUUCUUGUUUUUUUUUUUUUUUUUUUUUUUGCCCUUUCUCUCUCUGUUUGCUCCUUUGCAUGCACAGAAGAAGUUCUGGUAUUUGUAUAGAGCAAUGCUAAAAUUUCUGCUGCAAUUGUUUUUGUUUGUGUGCGAAAGGGAAUCUAACUUAGAACCACACAGCACUGCCUCCAUCACUUUAUCUAGAGAACUUUUAAUCUUAGCCACGUUCAGCAGCGUUGUGUUUUUUCUUCUGGAAUUUUCAACGUGGGGUUUUUGUUGUGAAAUUAAUGUACUUCAACCCUAUUUUAUUAGAGUAAUUUAAAAGCUUUCCUGAACCUCAGGGCAUCUUCGAUUAGAGUUGAUUAAUUUAGCUUAACUGAUUAAGUUUUAGAUUUGUUUUCUAGAAAUUACUAGUUUGAGUUUUAUAAACUUCAGAUUCAUUGGAGAUUUAUUUAGUUAUUAAUUUUAAAAUUCGUGAGAUUAGUCGAGAUACGCAUAGACUGACCCGAAUAUCCAUGUUAAUCUAAAAACAUUUAUUACCCUAUGUUUAUACAACGUUAUUGGUCAGUAUAACUACGUGGUCAUGAGACCUUUUUUAAAUUUAUUUUUAUUUAGUUUUGUGAUAAUUAAAAUAUAUGUAUAGAAAAAAACAACCAAUUAAUUAAAUUCUAGAGUGAAAUAUGUUUUUUUCUUCAGCAAAAACUUUCUUUUUUUAUUCAUGCUUUUUUUCCCCAAUAAAAACAUGUCUUCUUUAUUAGUUGCAUUAUUUUUCAAUAAAAACUAAAAGCAAUUAAAAUAAAUAUUUAAAAAAACUUUAAAUUAUUUUGAUUAAGGAGAAAAAAAUAUAUAUCUUAAUCAAAACUCCCCUUUUCUUGUUCAUGUAUCUCUAUUUCUUAAUUUUUAACAAAAAUAAUUUUUCUAUCAAAAGCAUCGUUUCUAAGGAAAAUUAUGAUUAGCUUCAUCUAAUCCAAUCAGGUAAAUAUUGAAGCCCUAGAUAUAAUAUGAGAUAUAUUUUCAUCAUAAGCCCAAACCUUAAAGCCCAAGAUAUAAAUUACUAAUCCUAUCGUUACAGCAUCAACAAAAGUUUCUCACCUAGCUUUUUCGCCACACGAAACUACUUCGCUUCCAUUUUCGAAGGCACAAAACCGAGAAAGAAAAAUGAAGCCUCGUCAAGAACAAGAAGAAGACGAAGAACGACUUCGUCAAAGAAAACUUGAAGAAUCCCUUGAAAUAAAAUCUCUCCGGCGCAUAGUCAGUGCCUACCUUAAGUAAUUUUAUUGCCCCUUUCUCUCUCAAUUUCCUUUCUUUCUUUCUUUUUUGUUUUGAUUGGAUCUUUUGUGUGUAGUUAUCCAGAGGCAGCAGAAGAGGAUGUGAAAAGAUACGAAAGAUCGUUUAGGAAGCUUCCUCCUUCUCACAAAGUGGGUUCUUGGGGUUUUUUUUCUUUAACUGUUUUCUUGAAAUCUUGAAAGAUUGAGUAAAGUUAUGGGAAAUGAAAUAGGAAGCUACUGAAUUAGGAAUUAAAGGGAAAUGGGAUUUAGAAAAAAAUGAAUUUGCUGUACUGCUUACUUAAUUUUGUGUCACUGAUUAUUGAUUUUAAUGGAAUUAAAGUCAAGUCACUAACUACCCCACCAGGUGCAUUGACUUGAAGUCACUGAAACCAGCAGCAUUGUGACUGCAAUGUUCUUAAAGUAAUUUCUGAAUUGUGAAUAUAGAUAUUAAAUUGUAUGUUAAAUUUUUGUUUUACUGUGACUAAACUGGAAUUUAGGAAUUUGAAUUUUAUUUGCAAUAUCUAAUAUUUACGGCUUGAAUAUACGCCAGAAAGUUUUGAUUUUUGGCUUUGUUACAAGGAAAAAUUUAUGAAUUAUAUACGUUCUUUUGAUGAUAAUGGAUUCUGGAUAACAUGGGAUAUAUCUGUUUUUCUUAAAUAUAUUUUACAGGCUUUGUUAUCACACUACCCUUUGAAGUUUCAAAGUCUAAGAAGGUAAUUCCCCGAGAGUGCUAUUGCUUGGUUUAGGUUUCACAAGUUCACACAGACACAUGAGCAGACUCUUAGAAAGCAAUUGCCUUGAGUAUGGAAAAGAAAUAUUAAGUUAGUGUAAUGUUGGAGUUUGUGAACAAUUUGCUUUUUAUUCUGCAGGUGUAUUUCUAUAAAUUCGUAUUUCAUAUUUAAUAUGCUUCAGGUCAGAUGAGCUCUAUGUUCUCUUUAUUGAUUUUCUCUUUUGAUGCUCUACUAUACAUCUUUAUUUUCACAUCUCCUUUUGUUUGAUGUUUUAAUUCUGUAAUAUUAUGUGAGUUCUAUGGAAAAAAAAUAAGGUAUAUUAUUUUUAUUAUGAUUAGCAAUCACUUUUCAGGCAUUUGAGCCACCCCUGGAUAUGAGCCAGGACAUUGAUGACUCUGGGGAAUUGCACUUUGAAUGGCCACCAAAUGAUGGGAAUGUUUGCUCUCAUGAGUCUACCACAGCUAGGGGAAGUUGUUCCAAACUUGAUGAAGCUUGCUGUGGAGAAUCAAGCAAUGUGAUGAGCAAACUAGCAGAGGGUUUGACGGCCAAUGAGGUCUCUGCAAAAUGGCCAUGUGAUGUUUUGUAUAGUGACUGUCUAAACUGCAAAAAAAAUUUCUUCCACUUCUAUGUCUUUUCAUUUAGAAGUAUGACUUCUGUAGAUAACAACAGGAAGUGCAAAUUGAAGGUUGUCAUGGGUCUGAUACUGGGAGCUGUCUGGCAGGCGAGGAAAAUAACAAAAUGACAGCUGAAUGUUGUGGGAAUCAUGUUUCUGAUUCCAAUGGAAAUGUAAUGCUAUUUAGUUUGCCUAUUUUAUCUCAAGGUUCCUUGUUUGUUUAUAAUUAGUUUUUGUUUUUUGCUAGAUUUGCAAUGAAUUUCUCUUCAAGCCAUCAUUUUCUUCUUAUUCUAUGUAUAGUGAAACUUACUUUCUUGCAUAUAACAAUGUACAUUCAGGUCCCGUCAUCACCUCGUGAUUGGUUGGAUCCAUCAUUUCAGUUGCAUGUUCCCCUGGUUGAUGUUGAUAAGGUAUAUUGGUUAUCUUGGCGCAUAAGCAAACUUUGCAAGCUUUGCUACCUUAUUUAUAUGGUAAAAUAUGUGAAUAAACAAUGAUUUUUUUUAUAUCUUAAUUCUAAGUUAUUUUAAUGAGGUCACAUGUAAUUGACAUGGCUGAUGAAAGUCAUUCUUUUUUGCCUUAUAUUGGUUUGAUGAAUCUUCAAAUUUGGGUCAGAAUAAUUCAACUUUGAAAUUAUUGUUUUGGAUAAUUAAGAUGGAUCUUUCAUUAAUGAUGAUGAGCAAAAACACUGAUGAAUUGGUCAUGAAUUAGCAUAUGAUGUAUGGGAAAAAUGAUGGAAAAAAAAUGGAUCUCAAACACACAAGAUACAAUCAGUGUUGUCAUGAGGUGCCGAGGCGCUCCAAUCUAGGAGAGGCGAGGCCCAAGCGCCUUUAUUAGCCUCGGGUGUCGGAUUUCACUAAGGUAAUCAUUUUCGGUUCGGUUCGGUUUUUAUAAAAAAAAAAUAACCAAACCGAAAUUUUUUUUUUAAAAAAAACCGAAAUCGGUUCAAACCGAUCAGUUUCGAUUCGGUUUUUUAGGACAAAAACCGGUCCAAACCGGUUUGACUUGGUUUUUUCGGUUCGGUUCGGUUUGGUUUUUUCGGUUUCAGGCUUAUAAAACCGAAACCGAACCGAACCGGUCGGUUUUUUAAAAAUUUUAAUCGGUUUAAUCAAUUUUUUUCACUGUUUGGUUUUUUUGGUUAUUUUUUUUCCGGUUUUCUCGGUUUAAUCGGUUUUUCAGUUUAUUUGCUCACCUCUAAAUUUCAAUGAAGUGCCACCUAGGCGAGCACCUUGAGAGUGGGUGCAAGGCAUUAAGGCUAGUGCCUGCUUGAAUUUCUUCCUUUUUUGUUGUUUUUUUUUUUAUUAAUUUCUAUUUUGUUCUAUUUGUUUAUUUUUUUAACUGAUAUUUAAUUUUUUUUUUAAUUUGUUCGGCUACUUACUAUAAAGUAUCUAUUUUAUUUUAAGGGUGAAAAAUAUAACUUUAUACGACUAUGUUAUGGUAUUUUAUAUUUUCUUUUGAUUUUCUAAUUAUGUAAUCUUAAUUAAGAUAUAUAUAUAUAUAUAUAUAUAUAUAUUAGAUUUAAAAAUAAAUUUAUAGUAUAUCGCCUUGGUUCAUUUAGGAGCGCCUAGCGCUUCGGGCAUUUUACAGGCUUGGUGUCUUUUAACGCAUUUUGCCUUUGACAACACUGGAUACAAUUGGUGUUCUUUGUGGAAUGUGUGAUUACUAAUGCUGCCAUUGUUUUUCCAUUUUCAUAGGUCCGUUGUAUACUAAGAAACAUAGUAAGAGACUGGGCAGCAGAGGUAAUGAUGCGUCAUUGCUUUCCUGUUUCUAACUCAUCAUCUGUGAUUUCUGAGGCCAAGGUUUAUGUGUUCCCACUGUUCCUACACUGAUGCAGGGACAGAAAGAACGUGAUCAGUGCUACAAGCCUAUUCUUGAAGAGCUCAAUUCUUUAUUCCCUAGUCGUUGCAACAAAAGGUACAUAAUUUCCUUAUGUGUUUACCAUUUUAGGAAUGCAAUUUUGUGCUUAGUGAUUGUGAUAUACAGAAUGAUAUAUAAUCUGUCAUGGAAUAAUGUUUUAUUUACUAUAUAACCAUAAAUUCAUUGCACAGUCCCCCUACAUGUUUAGUUCCUGGUGCUGGUUUUGGGCGUCUGGCCUUGGAGAUUUCAUGUUUGGGUAUGUAUUAAAGAUGUGAAGUUAUUACAAAUUCUAUUUUGGCAACUUUAUAUGGAGCCCAACACUUAUCAUAUGAUAAUGCAGGUUUCGUGAGCCAGGGAAAUGAAUUUUCAUACUACAUGAUGAUAUGCUCAAGUUUUAUUCUUAAUCAGUAAGGACUUCUAAUAAUUUCUUGCUAAUCUUACUGUAUGUAUGCUCUUGGCAGUAAUUAAUCUUUGAAUGAAUGAAUAUCACUCUCUCCCUUUCUUUAGUAAUGGGUAGUUUGAUUGUAUUAGGACCCAGAAUGCAGGGGAAUGGACUAUAUAUCCUUGGAUCCAUAGCAAUUGCAAUUCACUUUCAGACAGUGACCAACUCCGUCCUGUUUCAUUUCCAGAUAUUCAUCCAGCAAGGUAUUCAUGCUGCACUUAGUAUUUUUUUCAAAACUUUGCAUAAAAUUUUUAACAAUAACUAUCUGCAUGUCAUUUUAAAUCCAUAUUGACUUUUGUAAUAAGCAGUGCAGGGAUUACUGAAGGAUUCUCCAUGUGUGGUGGUGACUUUGUUGAAGUCUAUAGUGAUCCAAGUCAAGUAGGUAGGAGAAUUUAAUUCCUUUUAAUUGUUCAUGGUACAAAUAAUUGCUGGAACUUUGGCCACUGAAAUGGGCAGAUAUUUUGAUUAAUUUUAUUCCUUGCUAAUGAAACUUUUAUUUAUGUAAUAGUACUUUGAUUUGCAGAAGACUAGACAUGGUAUCAUAGGCACAAAUUAUUCUUGCAAUGUCCUUGCUUUGAAGGUAAUUCUUAUGGAGAGUAAUUGUAUGAUAUGCAGGAGUUUGGGAUGCAGUUGUAACUUGUUUUUUUAUUGAUACGGCACACAAUAUUGUUGAAUACAUUGAAAUCAUAUCAAGGAUUUUGAAAGAUGGGGGGGUGAGUUCCUUGAAGCUGUUUGAAACACUGUAUAUUUUCUGCUAUUUUUCACCAUGGAAUUAGCUCACUUAGGUGAUGACAGGUUUGGAUAAAUCUGGGACCACUCCUGUAUCAUUUUGCAGACAUGUAUGGACAAGAAGAUGUAAGCUUCAUUUUUCCACAAUGUUCAUAUAUAUACAUAUAUAUGGUGCUGUUUUGAUGCUGGCGUGGUAUUUGCAAACAUAUUUGACUUUGAUUUUUUGCAGAACCGAUACUUUGCUGCAUUCUGGACAAUGAGAAAGAAAUCGGCAGCGGUGGAAAAGCAUUCAACAUGAUAAGCAGCGGUGGAGAAGCAUUUUGCAUGAUGAUUACCCGCCUUUGUAUUAUGUGGUCUGCUAUAUUGUUAAUUUUUUUUUUAAUUAACGUGGGUGUCCAGGCCAGCUUGCACGUACCUUGACUAAUCUUACGGAUUUUGAAGUUAACGACUAUGUAAGCCUCCAGUAGUUCUGAGGAGACUCGAACUCGUGACGUUUGGGGAGCAAACUCAAGACCUGACCAGUUGAGCUAGCCCUCAGGAUUAGUCUGCUAUAUUGUUACUUCAUGUAAAAGUUGCAUACAGAAUCCAGUAAAUUGAAAUGUAUUUCUUGAAAAUAAUAUACAAGGUUGAAGAUUAAUUUGAGCGAUGUGUCAAAUUGUGACAGAUAGAAAGACUUUCCUUUUUCUUUUUGGUGCCAAAUUUUUCCUAGUUCGUAAUCUCAAAUUCUGGAAUAGUGUUUAAGAGAUUAAUUAUCAUUUUCCUGCUUGAUCACAGAAUUAUAGAUUUACAAGUUUACAACUAUAAAAACUAAUGUAGUGUUGGGAACAUGGGACUAGUCACGUAUCUGGACAAGACAACACGUUACUUGCACUGGUGUUUGAUGGAUAGACCAAAAGCAGUUCCUUUAAAAACAUUGAAUUACACUCGAUCCAUAGGCAAUGAAUCGAGUGUUGUCGACAGCAGUUUCAUCAUCGAUGGCUUUCUUCUCCUUCUUCUUUCUUUAACAGGAACUAAACUUUGCGAUCUGUAAAGCAAUAAAUGGAUAUUCAACAACAAGAUUCCAGAUUAAUGAGCCAACUUCUUCUUUUCUUUUGAAUUAAAAAUACUUGGGGUUGUAUAAUUUGCAUCAUGUAAACCCCAUUUAAAAAGGACAAUCAUAGACUGCUUAAGUCAAUAAUUGUUGGUCCAUAAUGCAAAACUUUUCAUAAUAAUAAUAAUAAUGUGUUUAAAAACGCGAGUAUAGCUGCAAUGCAAUUCACGUUCUCAGAUAUGUUUUUAGCUACUGUUUUUUUUAACUACAAAUACAACAAUAGAUUUACUAGCUAUAUAUUCUUUUUAUUUUAUUUAAUCUUUAAUAAUCCUCAAAUUGAGAAAUAGCACAUCAAAAAAAUGUAGUCGGUUUCAAUCUCCUCAUAGCUCAUCUCUGUACGUAAAUCUGUAAUUAAUGUAUAAUAAAUAAAUUAAAAAAAGUUGAUGAUGAAGAUCCAGCCGUUUCCCCCAGGUUUUGUUAAUGGAGGAGCACCAUUGAUGGCGGAUAUGAUGUCGGUUGGUGGUUUAGAAUAAUAAUAAUAAUAAAAAAAGUGGAUUAAUUAAAUUCAAAUCAAACUAAUUUUAUAAGAAUGUGUGAUGUAUUAAGAAAUUAAAUAUUAACGAUAAUGGAUGAAAGAGAAAACAAAUCAAAUAUGAAAUAAAAUAAUAAAAUUAAUAUAUAUAUAUAUAUAUAUAUAUAUAUAUUAAAAAAAACCCACCUCUUGACUGUUCAGGUCCUUCAAAAAAUCAGAGUUCUUCAAAAAAUCAGAGUUUUUUUUUAAGAUGUACAAGGGAAUCAUCUUCCACGUGAUGAUUAGUUAUGUAAUGCCUGUCCUGCAAUAUACGACAGUCAUUAGUUAUGUAAAUAGUUUUAGUUACUUUUUAUAUAUAUAUAUAUAUCCCCGUCACUGGCACUGUGACAUACCCGAGUGACCAAACACUUUUUACUAGCCCUGGCUUGGGUGAAUAAACCUACUAGUUGUCUACUAAACCCAAGUGAUCGUCAGUCACUCGGAUCUGGCUUAGCUACCAAUUACAUGUUUUUCUUUUUCUUUUUUUUUCUUUUUUUUGCGCUAACAAUUUCAAUGCAUAAUACACAUAAUUUUUCUAUCUCGCAAACACAAAUUUUUUUUGCAAUACAAACACCAUUUUUUUUUUUUAUCAUCAAUAGCAACAUUUCUUUUAUGACUAUAAACUCACAUGAACACCAAUAAAAAUAAAUAUAUUUUAUAAUAUAUAUAAAUAUGACACACCAACUUCUCCUUUUAAUUACAUAUUAGACAUAACCUUUGUCAUAAUAUCAUACCAACCGAUGAUAGCUCAUCUUGAUUGAUCAAUGACAAGAUUUUCUUUUUUUUAUAAAAAAAUUACAAGUUUAGAUGUAUAAAUACACCUAGUUACCAAACUAAAAGGGAAAUAUUUUUUCAUGACAUACCAAAUCCACAAUCUUGCAACACCUAGAUAACUUUCCUUAUUGUAUUUUCUCCUUAUUCAUUAUUGUUUCCACAUAUACAAGUACUACCUUAAAUAUUAAAGUGUCUUAUGUCUUAACAAAAAACUGGUUUUAUAGGAACCACUCACCAAUUCACUAAUAAAGAAAAUUAAUUUUUGUAUUUGAAGUUUUUUCACGAUUUUAUCAUAAUUAUUGUCAGGAGAUUAUUCAUACCUAGUUUUGUAAAGAGGUUGACUUGAGAUAACCAAAUGAGGUCUAGAAGGCCUCCAAAUUAGUCCCAACAAGUGUUGUUCAACUGAGUUUUGUUAUUAUUAUUUUUUUAGAUUCUCUAGCUUGUUUAAGAGUUUUCUUGUUUUUUCCUUUCAUUAUUAGGACUCUUAAUUUUCUAAUUUAUUUAGGUUGGUUCUUUGUUUUAAGGAGUUUUAUAUCUUUUAGAAAACCAUGCUACUUAAAAAAAAUCAAUAAUAAAGUUUUAGAUUAAAGAUUUUGUGUGGCGGCAUAUUCAAUAGAAAUUUAUAUUGCUUGUACAAAUUGUUUUUGCAUUGUUUCAUCUAAAUUAGUUAUUAUAUAAAUAAAUACAAAAUAUUUAUGACAAUGAAUGGAUAAUGUGUUUAAUGAUGUACAAUUAAUUCUUAAGUAAAUUGUAGAGAGAGUAAAUGUGUAAUAUUUUACUUUCUAUAUCCUAGAGCUCCAAAAUCAACAUGUGUCUUAUCAUGAGUCUUAUCAUGAGAAUAAGGGCCGGUGGCUCAGAGAGAGAGAGAGAGAGAGAGAGAGAGAGAGAGAGAGAGAUGAGCAGUCGGUGUUAAUUAAUUAUUCUCCACUCCUGCAACGAGACACUGCGUUUUACGAAAUGUUCUAGAGAAAGGUGAGAACAUAUCGAUACGAGGAGUAUAGAAGGAAGAGCAUUAAGCAAGCACCUCGCCAUAAAUAGUGUGCUUAUAAUUAUUUUGUGAAGUGUUUUAUUUUUAUAAAAGUGUUAAAAUAAUAUUUUUUAUGUUUAAAAAAUUUAAUUUUAAUAUUAACAAAUAUAAAAAUAUUAAAAAUUUUAAUUUAAUAUAAAAAAAUAAAUUUUAAUAAAAAAAACAAGUUAUAAUUCAAACCAUAGAUUUCAUAUUAAGUUUUUGACUUCAAACUUUUUUUUUCUUAAUCAUAGGUGUCAAAAUCAGUUUACGAGUACCUCGACUAAACUUCUAGAGCUUUAAAGUUAAUAAACAGGUAAACUUUCAAUAACCUUAAGAUUUGUGUCACUCAAACCGAUAAUAUUUGAAUAGCAAAUCAAAAAUUUAACUAAUUAAACUACAUAUUUCAAAAUGACGUGGUGUUUUGAUACUUGUUUCCACACUUACGUGGAUUGAAUCUCGUUAUUCUUAAACAAUUUAUCAACUCUCAGUAAAAAGAAAUGGAUGAAUGAUACUGCAUAUAAUUGAGCUGUGAUUCAAAAAUUAAAUAGUUGCUUUUUAUUGGUUUUUUUUUUAUAAUCAUCGAGAGUAUAUUGAGAAGGCCAUAAAGCUAAUAGCCAAAAAGAAAUACAAGAGAUAAAAAAAAAAAAAAACAACUGAUCUACUACAGCAAACAACAAGAAGACUACCUAAGAUUUCUUAUUACACCAUAAUUUAAUGCCAUCAGAAGAUCUUAAGAGGUUAUUUCCUGUAUAAUUGAAGUUUGAAUCUUGAGAAUGCAACCAAAUAGCAACCCGAUGAAGGAUGGUGGAGAAACAAUCAAACAAGUUUAUAGUUCCCUCCUCAAAAACAAUUUUGUUCCUCAGCAACCAUAUACCCCAAAUAGUACUACUUGAAAUUAAUCUCCAAGCUGAUCUUUGGAAUUUCCCAUGAACCAUUUCGGGCCACUGCAGAAGCAGCAAGUCAAUUGUUCUCGGUAAACAACAUUGGAUACCCUACCAAUCCAAAACUUUCAUCCAAACACUCCUAGAAAAGUUACAAUGUAUAAAAAGAUGCUCUGAGGUUUCCAAAUUUGAGCUGCAAAAGACACAUGAAGCUUGAGUGGCAGACAAAACAGUCCGUUGAUGGAGAAAAGCUCUUGUACUAACUUUGUCCUGUACUGCCAACCAGAGAAACACCUGAACUUUUGGAGGGGCCCCUUUAAUCCAAACAUUGGCUUCGAAGACUCUAUCAGUCGCAGAGGAAGUAUUGUCAAUUAGGGUGCAACACGAUUUAACUGAGAAGCUUCCAUCAGAAUUGCAUGACCAUAUAAGUUUGUCAUCUUUUCCUUGUCGAAUUAUCGUUGGCUCCAGCAUUGAGAGCAAAUGAUGGUAUUGUUGCUCUUCAUAAGAUAAGAGCUUCCUACGCCAAACCAAAUUCCAUCGCCAUUGAUCAUUCACCCAUUGACCCAUCUCAUUAACCAAACCAUUCCGAAAAGUAGAAAUUUGGUAAAGCUUAGGGAAAAUGCUACGUAAAACAUUUGAUCCUAUCCACAUGUCAGACCAGAAAAGGAUGGAGGAUCCAUCUCCAAUCUUGAAUUUAAUGUUUUCACGCAAUACUAAGCCGAUGACACUGUUUGGAUCCAAGAUUGACAAAACAUCUUUCCAAAAUGAGGAAAUAUGACCAUGCAAUUUUGGGAUUCCAUUCUCGAAAGUUGGGGAGUAAAAAUGGGUUGUUACCUGUUUCCAUAAGGCAUGGUCUGGUAAGUUUAGCCUCUAUAUCCAUUUGAAAAGCAUGGAUAUAUUUUUUGACAUUAAAGAACCCAACCCGAGGCCUCCUUCUUUUCUAGCUUUCACAACAAUACGCCACUAAACCUUGCAGAUUUUCUUUUGCUUUGCCACUCCAGACCACAAGAAUCUUCGUUGAAUAGAUGUUAGUAAAUUACAGACACCUUUCGGCAUAAGAAAAGAAGACAUAAUAUACUGGCAAUGAACUCAAGGCACUUUUGAUUAGGCAGAUACGUCCUGCCAUACUAAGCAUACGACCUCUCCACAUGCUUAACUUUCGUCUGAAAUUCUCAAUAAUAGGCUUCCAUGUAGACAAUCUUUUAGGAUUGGAUCCUAAAGGCAUGCCUAGAUAAGAGCAAGGCAAGAAAUCAAAUCUGCAAAAGACUGAAUAUGCCAUACUAGCACAAGUAUCUUCCCCAACAUUUAUGCCAAUUAAAGAGCUUUUAUGGAAGUUAAUGUGCAAACCUGAACAAAUAGCGAACCACAACAGGAUCCUUUUAACUGUUUUGACCAUAUGAAGAUUAGCAGGCAUGAAGAUUAAAGUGUCGUCUGCAUAUUGUAGGUGACUGAGGCAAAAGCUAUCUCCAAAAGGGAUACCUUUGAAAAGAUCAUUUGAAGCUGCUCUUUGAAACAAAACAGAUAAUCCCUCUGCUGCUAUUAGAAAAAGGAAUGGAGAAAGGGGGUCACCUUGGCGAAUCCCACGGCCCAUCAAGAAUUCCUUAGAAGGAGAUCCAUUAAUCAGCACUGAUAAUUUUGCGGUGGAGAUGCAAGUGUUGAUCCAAUUAAUCCAUUUUUCACCAAAACCCAUAUGCCUCAUAACCUGCUCUAAAUAAUCCCACUGCACACUAUCGAAAGCUUUGUGAAAAUCCACCUUAAAGAUAAGGCUCGGCACUCUGUGUCUUUUCAAGGAAUGAACAGCUUCAUUGGCAACCAAAAACCCAUCAAUUAUUUGCCUCCCUGCCAAGAAAGCUGUUUGAUUCUCACUGAUAAGGUCAUGCAUAACCGCUUUCAGACGGCUAGAAAGAACCUUAGCCAUUAUCUUGUAAAUGCCAUGAAUCAAACUAAGAGGCCUGAAGUCUUUGAAGCCAACUGGGGAAGCGAUCUUCGGAAUUAGAUGAACAUAAGCAUGAUUGACUCCUUUUGGAAGCCUACCUGUUUUGAAGAAAUUCUUAGCCAGGUCUAACAGAUCAUCUGCAAUGAAAUUCCAAGCAAGCCUGUAGAAUUUGAAAUUGAAACCAUCUGGACCCGGACCUUUGCUCCCAUCACAAUCCCAAACACUCUGCUUUAAUUCUUCCAAAGUGAUAUCUCGCUCCAAGCUAGCUGAAGAAGAAGCCGAGAGUGUUUUAAAACCAACAGGCCCUAAACCAAUUCGGAAUCUAUCAGGACUUCUGAAUAAGUUGGAGAAGAAGUUAACUGCCGCAUCUUUUAUGACCGGUAAACCUUCAACAACAGAACCAUUGUGAACCACUUUCAGGAGAUGGUUUUUAGCCCUCCUGAAGUUAGCAACUAGAUGGAAGAAACGCGUAUUGCGAUCGCCCAGGCGACACCAAAUUUGGCGAGACUUUUGACGCCACAUACUUUCUAUAUGCAGGUUACAUUGCCACUGAUUCUUGAUCAAUGAAUCAAGCGAGUUCUGCUCUGCAGUAGAUAAUUGCCCAUACUCUGAUUUCUUUUCUAUAGCUGAAAUAUUGCUUUGGAUCAAUGACAAAGCAGUCUCCUGAUGCCCAAAACCAACCCUAUUCCACUGUCUGAGCCGAGUUGCCAUAAAGCUGAGCUUCUUAAUGAGCUUGAACUGACCUGAAAAUUCAUUGCAAGCUUCAUCCCAUAUACCCUUUACGAUAUCUUUAAAAUUUGGAUGAUGGAGCCAACAAUCCAUGAAUUUGAAAGGAAUCCAACCUUUUUCUGCAUGUGAAACCCCUAGGAUUAAAGGGCAAUGAUCAGAGAACCCUCUUGGAAGCCGUCGAAGAGACAAAAGGGGGAAUUGCAAAUGACAACAAGGACUAGAAAAAAUACGGUCUAGUUUACUCAUGGAUCCCCCACGAAACCAGGUGUACAGACCCUCUGACAUGUUGUACUCGAUUAGGUUGCAAUCAUCAAUAAAAAGUCUAAAUGCCGUUGAACCCACCUUGUUAAUAAAGCCACUGCUUCUGUCACUUCGCAACAUAGUUUCAUUGAAGUCACUUGCUAAAAACCAAGGACACUCAAAAACAGCCUUCAGAAUACGAAGGUCCUUCCAAAGAAGAAGUUUGUCAGCUUGAUUGCAAGGGGCAUAAACACCUACCACCGCCCCUGAGAAGCCUGUCAAGACAUUCUGCCCAAAUAACCCGAUCCAACCAUGACCAUACUCCACUGAUGAUACCGCAAACUUAGAGUUAUCCCACAUAGCCAGAAUGCCCCCUUUAGUACCUUCAGCCUCAUUACCAAACCAAGAAACAUUAUUGACGCUCCAUAAUUGAAAAACCAAUCUGUCUGAGUAACUUUGUAACUUAGUUUCAAACAAAAAACAAACCUCUAUAUCAAAAUCCCUGAUUAACUUUGAAACUGUCCUCUUCUUUCUAGCUAACCCCAAACCACAAGAAUUCCAUGAAAGAAUCUGCAUAAGAAAAGAGAUUUAAAAUCCUUACAGAAGAAAGAGGAAUAUCUGCUCACUGGGAUGCUUCCCAAUCAGCCUUCUCUUUACGCCUUUGCUGAUUUAUAUAGGAUGUGAAGUCAUCUAAAUUGUGAGGUUUUUCAAUCUGCAAAACCUCUCCUAUUUCCAGCAUUAAACAAACCUCAUCACCCUCAGGAGAUUUAUUGUUUUCGUCAUGAGCUAGCAAGUUCCUCCUGUUACACCUCUGUAUUGUUGAGUCCUCAGUAUCCAUCUCACUCAUAUUAACUGUUUCAUUCAAACUUCCAUCAGUUGUAAUCAUCUUUGUACGUCGCAACUUCCUUCUUGUUUUUGCAGAUAGAGCAAUUGCACUCUCUUUUGUGUUUGCAUCAGAGUGUAAAAUAACUGGGUGAUUCAUGUGCUGCGGUUCCAGAAUUACUAUGGCCUGAGGAUUGUAUGUUGAUUGAAGGGCUAAAUCAUUGUUUGAUCCAAAUGAAAUAGAGAGAACGUCAGAUGGGCUUUGAGAUCCACUGCCAUAAACUGGGCUUCCAAUCUGGGCCAAUACAAGGGAGUCAAGGUCCAAGGCAGCUGCAGGGUUUCUAGCAUCUUCUCUCAAAAUAGGAGUGCCCUGUCCCGUAUAUACGGUAAGAGCAUUGAAAAUGGGACUACUUUUUAUAUAGCUGCUGUCAGAAAAAGAAAGAUUGUAUGCCAUAAUUUCUGGAAAUCUCUCUAAAGAUGAGGCAACAUGUUGAUCUUGCACCACAUCCAGAUGAAGAGCAUUAAAUAUGAUAAGAGAGCUAUCGUCAGAAGUUGAUAUCUUGUCUCCAUCCUGUGCCAGAUCUGAAUUUUCCCACCCACUGCUGCCGCCCCCAAUAGUCCUGGUGACUGAUGGAGCCACAUCUGCUCUGUCCUCAUCUGUGUCUACGCCAUCACCCACAUCAACCGAGUCUUCCUCAUCAUCCUCAUCCCCUUGCGAUGUCUGAAAGUCAUCCAUGGUGUAUGAAAUUGAGCCAGCAAUUGGGUAAUGUAACUGGUCCAUCUCCUCUAUCUUAACCUGAUAUGUUUGAUUUUUGAUUUGCAAAACAAUCACCUUAUUCACCUUAUCCAGAUGUGUACCAAUGAGGAUCUGUAACUGUGAUAGUUCAAAAUGCUUGAGAGUAGUUUUAUCAUAACCUAUCAUCUGACCAGAUCUUUCUAAAAUCUUUGUGAGGCAUCUGCAAUUCCACCCUAUAAUGGGUAGAUUUUUUAUUGUUAUCCAGGCCAUCCGAUUCAAAGUUGUGUCAGUCUCAACCCAGGGGCGAACUUCGUCAAAAAAUACAUCCCAACAUUUAUUAUUCUUCCUCCAUGAUUCCAUUAAUAUGUCUCUAUUAUCAAAAAUCACAAGGACCUGAGAUGCCCCAAGAAAGCGCAGUCCAACAAAAUCUAUAUCAUGUUGGAUCAGUCCAAAACGUAUAGAAGAGUAAUUGGAUCCUUUUUUUAUUUUUCCCAGAAGACAUCUGUUUAGCCAAGCAUAAUCCUCUUCUUCAAUAUCAAUGGAGAGUUUUUCAACGUAUAGAAGAGCUUUUUAUUGGUUAUGUCUGAUCUACCUUAAAAUUUAAGAGAGACAAAUAUAAAAAGAAAUAUUUUCAUUUAAAAUUAUAAGUAUAUUUUCAUUUAAAAUUUUCUCUUCUAAUUAUAAUUAAUUUAAAAAAUAAAUCCAAAAAAACAACUAAUAAAAAACUACUUGCUAUUCCCUCGUGCUUGGAAAAUUUCUCGUCGUUAUCACUAGAGUACAACUACAAUGACCUGGCAAAACAUGACAUUAAUAAAAUAAAAAUAAAAAAGUUCAAGGAAGAUACAAAUUUGGAAAUCGAAAAACAAGCAUUUCUGGCUAUAAAUGACAGGAAAAGAAUCAUUGAGACUGAACAGAGAGAAGCAAGCAAGCUAGCUAGUAAGAGAGAUAUGGGAUCCAUUUCGAAGCCUCAUGUUGUUGUGAUCCCAUGUCCACUCCAAGGUCAUAUAAAGACUAUGCUUAAACUUGCGAAGCUUCUUCACUACAAAGGUCUUCACAUCACGUUUGUCAGCACAGAAUUCAAUCACAAACGUUUCCUUAGGUCAAGAGGACCUCAUGCCCUUGAUGACUUGCCUGGCUUCCAUUUUAGAACCAUUCCCGAUGGUCUCCCUCCUUCAGAUAUUGACGCCACCCAAGACAUUCCUUCUCUUUGUCAUGCCAUGAACAAGAAUUUCUUAGCACCCUUUAAAGAUCUUCUUUUACAACUCAAAAAUACCAUAUCGGAGAACAACCCUCCGAUUACCUGCAUUGUUUCUGAUCCUUUUGCUCCAUUCUCCAUCAAAGCUGGGGAAGAAGUUGGUCUUCCAGUUGUGAUGUAUGCCACUAUGAAUGCAUGUGGCUAUAUGGGAUUUAAACAGCUCUAUGCUCUCAGAAAGAAAGGCUUCACCCCCAUCAAAGGUAUAUUCACAUACUUGUUUAAUUACAACUGAACUUCCAAGCAAAGUGGCUUUAUUACACCAUUAUACAACUUCUUUAGUAUUUUGCAGCUUUAUUCUUUUCUAAAUAUUACAAUUUAAUUAAUUUGGUAUGCCCGCGUUCCGACAAAAAUUUCCAAGCUUAAAUCACACAGGCAAGAUCAAUGAUUAUGUGCAAUAAAUUUUCAUUUUGAGCUUGGUCUAAUAAGAUUGUGUUUUGCAGAUUUGAGCAAUCUAAGCAACGGCUAUCUUGAGACAAAAGUAGACUGGGCUCCUGGUAUGAAAGACGUUCGUCUUAAAGAUUUUCCAUUUAUUCAAACAACAGAUCCAGAUGAAGUUGUAUUUAACUUUGUCAUUGGGGUUGCUGAGACUUCUGUUAAAGCUCGUGCAAUUGCUUUUCAUACUUUUGACGCCUUGGAACCAGAAGUUUUAGAUGGCCUUUCCACUAUUUUCCCUCGAGUUUAUUCCAUCGGUCCACUCCAGUUACUCCUAAAUCAAUUCGAAGAAGAUGGCUUGAAGUCUAUUGGUUACAGUCUGUGGAAAGAAGACCAUGAGUGUCUCCAAUGGCUGGAAACAAAGGAACCCAAAUCAGUGGUGUACGUGAAUUUUGGAAGCAUAACAGUGAUGACAGCUGAUCAACUGGUGGAGUUUGCAAUGGGAUUAGUUAAUAGUAAUAUCCCAUUCUUGUGGAUUAUAAGGCCAGAUUUGGUCAUCGGUGAAUCAGCUGUUUUACCAGCUGAAUUUGCAGAGGAAACUGAAAAGCGAGGCUUUAUUACAAGUUGGUGUCCACAAGAGGAAGUGCUUAACCAUCCAGCAGUUGGAGGGUUUCUAACUCAUAGUGGCUGGGGUUCAACCAUUGAGAGCUUGUGUGCUGGUGUUCCAAUGGUGUGUUGGCCCUUCUUCGCUGAUCAAGCAAUGAACUGUAGAUAUAGCUGCAAUGAAUGGGGAGUUGGAAUGGAGAUUGGUAAUAACGUCAAGAGGGAAGAAGUGGAGAUGCUGGUGAAGGAGCUAAUGGAAGGGGGAAAGGGUGAGAAAAUGAGGGGAAAGGCUAUGGAGUGGAAAAGAUUGGCUGAAGAAGCUGUUGGGCCAGAGGGUACAUCAUCCAUUAAUUUGGACAAGUUCAUCCAUGAAAUAAUCUCUUCAAACAAUUAGAUCGUCGUCACACUAGAAUAAAAAAAAUAAUGAAAAGAUCAAAUUUCGUUUGUUUGUGAAAAGAUCAAAUUUCCUUCCCUGUCUGUUGCCUUUUAUUGGAAUUUAAAUAUCAUAAUAAAUAAAUGCUCCAUUUUCGAACAUGGUGUAGGCCCGCUUUUGGCAUUCUAUAUUUCAAAGCAACCAUGGAUUGUUGAUGUGAUUAGAUCAUUGAUCAUGAAGUUUCUCCUAAUAUGGCAACGAUUCACAUCUAUUAAUCAGGUGGGAGCAUAGUUUUGAAACACAGAACUACUAAUCGGGUCGAGAUCUGGAUCAGAUUUUAAAAAAAAUAAAAAAAGUUAAAAAUUUAAUUGACCCGGCGACUUGGUAAGACCCGAUUAAAAAUUUAAUUAUAAUUUAUUAACUAUUUUUUUUUUUAAUCAAAACAAUAUUUUUUUCAUCAUAAUUUUAAAACUUGAUUUGACAAGUCGACCCGAAACUAGAGCAACAACCCACAUGUCAUCAGGUAAUUUUGCUAGGAAGAUUUAAUAUAAUAUAGUAAUAAUUAAUUAAAAAAAUCCCUGCACCUUGGAGGUACUUAUUGAUAGUGAUCACUGAAGUCAUAAUACAAUGACCUAGCGGAACAUGACGUUAAUUAAAAAUAAACAAAAUCAAGGAAGAUCCAAGAUUUGGAAAUAGAAAAACAAGCACUGCUGGCUAUAAAUGACAGGAAAAGUCCCAUUGAGAUUGAACAUAGUGAAGGUAGCUUGCUAGUCAGAGAGAAGGGAUUGUUGAUGGUUAGAUCAUUAAUCAUUUACUUUAUUAUUCCUGGUCAACAAAACCAAUAUUUCAUAUCUAUCAUUCAAGAGGGAGACUCGAAAGAAGCAUGAAAAGUAACGUCUUUCUUCACCUUUCUUUCACAUAUCGUGAGCAACUAGAUUGGUGUCCUGCGGUAAGUUACGAAUCAAGAGUCAAUUUUUUUCUAGGAGAUAGUUGCACUUUUAAAGAAGAAAAAAAAAAUCAAAGAGUGAGAUUAUUGACUUUACUAGAUUUAAUAAACUCAAUUAAUUUAGUAAUAUAAUUAAAAACAUGCAACAACAAUAGAUAAAUUAAAAAAAGAAAUGACUCGAGUUAACUUGGGCUAACACGCCAAACCCGUGACCUAACACUUGAAAUCAAGAUAACCCCAUAAAAAAAAGAAAAAAAAUAAUAAAGUUUAACCUCCAACAAACUCAAUAUUGAAGGAUAAAAUAAAAAAAUAAUUGUAAAAAAAACCUAAGUCAACUCGGGUUAGCCUUCCAAACCUAUCACCCAUGUUCUGAAGUGAGGAUUACCUCAUAGAAGGCAAGCCUGAAAAAAUUAUGAAGUCAAAUUCCUAAUCAACAAAAUGUUGAGAUAUGAAAUUGAAAAAGAAAUUUUCAAUAAAAAAGGAUCCAAAACAAAAUAAAUUGAAAUAAAAAGUGAGGACCAAAUUUGACAUAAAAAUAAAAUAAAAUCAAAUGUUGAGGGAUGAAAUUGAAAAGAAAAUUCUAUUAAGAAAAGUAUUUAAAACAAAACAAAACAAAUAACAAUUAAAAAAAUGAGAAUCAAAUCUGAUAUGGAAAAAACUAGAGGAUGAAAUCAUAAAAAAAUUAAAUUUAAAAACUAUCUCAAAUAAAAUAAAUAACAAUCAAAAGGAAUAUAGAUAAAAUAUGACAGAUAAAUUUUUUUGAAAGAGAGUGAAAUUUUAAAAAAUCCAAUUUGAUAAAUUAUUUCAAAUAAAAUAAAUAGUAAUAAAAAGAACAGUGGUCAAAUAUAAAGAAAGAAUAAAUCAAAGGGUUACUUUGAAAAUUCAAAGAGUCAGGCAUGAAAAUUGAGGAGGAGAGAGAAAAGAAAAGAAAAAGUAAAGUUUGUUGGUUCAAGUUCAUCAUCUUAUUCAUAAAAGUAGUUACAAGAUUCUUAAACUCUGUCACAAAACAUUUUAAAUAGGUAAAGAUUAAAGUUUGAAGGAACAAGAGGCUUACCAGCGGCUGCAAGUUAAUCACUAUAGGCCUUUCCAUGUUUUAAGGAGGUUAUGACACACUACCAGAAAUUCGCUCAAUAGCAACGGAUUUACCGACAGAAUAUUUCUGUCGGUAAUUUGAGGUUGAAAUUACUGACGGAAACUUUUCCGUCGUCGCUGACGUAGAGGUUUUGGCGGGUAAUUUUUACCAACGGAAUCACCGACGAAUUCAAAACGACAGCCCGUACAGUGACGUGAUUGGUUCGCCGUUUAAAAUGCCGAUGGAAUCACCGAGGGAUUCGAAAUGGCAGAUCCGUACGGUGACGUGUUGAUUUUUCUGUCAGAAUCACCGACGGAAAAUCCGUUGCUGAAACCGUGGGAAAAAGUUAAUAUAUGUCCUCUCUGCCGACCCUCUCCUCCCCUAUUUCUCCUUCUUCUUCCUAAUCCCAACUCUCCCCAUCUGCAAACAACCACCCCCCCUCCCCCAAACAAAAAUCUCCCUCAUCUCAGCACAACAAGUCAUAUUUCUUGAAGUUUUGUGGUCAUAGCAUCCGUGUUCUGAUUUACCAACAGAUUUUAUCAAUUUUUGUAAGUAAUUCUAUCUUUUUAAAUUUUAACAUUUAAUUAAAUGUCAAUUUUAUUGUUUUUUUAGUAUAUGUAUUUUGUUAGUAGAUGUACAUGUUUUAUUGUUAUUUCUCAAACAAACUUGUAGUAUAUGAAUGUAUAAUUCUAUACCUGUUAUGGUUUGUUUUAGGUUUUGUAAGAUUGUAUUUGUUGGUAAAUUGUUAAAACUUUAUGGAAUUACCAAAUUACAUGUGCUGUUUUGAAAUAAUUAAUAGCUUGCUUAAUGAGUCCAUUUAAAGUUUUAUCAAUGGUAUUGCGGAGUAGUAAUUUCUGUAAAUUUAUAUAUAUUAAUUUGUAUGGACGUUGAUAAAUGAUAAUGAAUAUUUAAUAUUUAUAAGAAGUUGUGAUUGGUUUGUUGGAUAAUCUUGAGGUAAAGUAAUAUUUUUGCAAGUUUAUUUACCUAACUUAGUUAAUUAAUACAUGAUGUCAUCAUAAUUUUAUAGAGGUUCGAUAUAAGUCAUGGAUGAUCGUUCAUGGAUGUAUCGAGAUUCACCCCAAGGAUUGCGGAGGAUUGAUUAUUGUAACGGGGUUUAGGGUUUUAUUAAUUUCGCAACAUCUAUUCCUAGAAAUUUUACUGGAGGCGGUAUUAGGUAUCCAUGCAGGAAGUGUCAAAAUAAAAAAUAUCUGCAUCCAGAUGUUGUAAUGAUGCAUCUUCUACACAAAGGGUUUAUGAAGAAUUACCAGUGUUGGUAUGCACAUAGAGAAGUAUUUGUUAGUAAGAGGAGAAUGGGAGAAACGGUGGUUGGAUCUACUUCUAGUGCUAGCAACGUGCAUGAAGCGGCAAAUAACAACACUAAUCCUUACAGAAAUAUGGUUAUGGAUUCAAUGAGAAUGAAUCAAGGUAAUGUCAGUCAAUUUCCAAUCGUAGAAGAAGAACCUAAUGCAGAUGCAGCUAGGUUUUUUGAUUUGUUGAAAGAUUCUGAUGAACCAUUAUGGGAUGGUUGUACGAACCACAGUAAAUUAUCGGCCGUAGCACAGGUGUUCACCAUCAAGUCAGAUCACGGGUUGAGUGAGGUUGGGUAUGACAAGAUUAUUGCAUGGAUGAGAAGUAUUUUACCUGAAGGGAACAUGCUGAAAGAGAACUUCUAUGCUACGAAGUCCAUGAUGAAAACCCCUCGGUUUAGGAUACCAGAAAAUUGACAUGUGCCCUAACUUCUGCAUGUUAUACUACCUUGAAAAUGCUGAGAUGACCGAGUGCAUGACAUGCGGGCAUUCCCGUUAAAAACCUAGAACUAGCAGGGGAAAGACUCUAGUGGCAUAUAAAAAACUUAGAUACUUCCCGAUCACACCUAGACUGUAGAGGUUAUUCAUGUCAUCAAGGACUGCUGAGCACAUGACAUGGCACCAAGCACAUAAUGCGGUUGAUGGAGUGAUGGUGCAUCCUUCUGACGGCGAAGCGUGGAAACGCUUUAACAGUGUCCAUCCUCACUUUUGAGCUGAAUCAAGGAAUGUGCGUCUUGGGUUGUGUACAAACGGAUUCAACCCAUUUAGGUCAUUUGCUGCUCCUUAUUCUUGUUGGCUGGUCAUACUCACAGUUUAUAACUUGCCACCGGGAAUGUGUAUGAGGCCAGAGUUCAUGUUUUUAUCUACUGUCAUACCCGGUCCAAGCAGCCCGGGGUGGAAUAUAGAUGUUUGUCUUCGACCGUUGAUUGAUAAGUUGGCUUAAUUGUGGUCCUCCGGAGCUCUGACUUAUGAUAUAUCGAGGAAACAAAAUUUCCUUAUAAGGGCGGCUUUGAUGUGGACUAUCAAUGAUUUUCCAACUUAUGAAAUGCUUUCUGGUUGGAGCACGUAUGGGAAACUCGCAUGUCCAUACUGCAUGGAAAACAACAAGGCAUUCACGCUAGCAAAUGGAGGUAAAGCUUCUUUUUUUUACUGUCACCGUCGCUUCUUGCCACUUAAUCACAGGUACAUAAAGAACAAAAAAGAUUUCUUUGUUCGUAGAGUUGAAAAAGAUGUUGCAUCCCUGCGUCUUUCUGAUGAAGAAUUGCAUGAUGUUGUAUCAGAGUACGGUGACAUUGUGUUUGGCCUUCAAUCAGGUAAGCAAAAGUUUUAUGGUUUUGGUUUGACCUAUAAUUGGGUAAAGCGAAGUAUCUUUUGGGAGCUUCCUUAUUGGAAGAUCAAUCUACUCCGCCAUAACCUUGACGUCAUGCACAUCGAAAAGAACAUGUUUGAGAACAUUUUCAACACCGUCAUGGAUGUGAAGGGGAAGACAAAGGACAACAUCAAGGCUAGAUUGGAUAUAGCUUUAUACUGUAACCGUAAAAAUAUGGAGUUGGUUUAUGAUGAGUCACGGGUCGCAAAACCAAGAGCAAGCUUUGUGUUAGAGAAAAACGCACAACUGCUAGUCUACAAAUGGCUUAAGAGUCUGUGUUUUCUGGAUGGACAUGCAUCGAACAUAUCAAGGUUGGUUAAUAUAAAGGACUGUAGAUUGUAUGGAAUGAAGAGCCAUGACUGCCACGUGUUUAUGCAAACACUAAUCCCAUUAGCUUUUCAUGAUUUAUUGCCAAAAGGAAUAUGGGAUGCACUCAUGGAGAUUAGUCAUUUCUUCAGAGAUAUAUGCUCCAGCAAGUUAAAUGUUGAGCACAUUGAGAGGCUUCAAACGAAUAUCGUCGAAACACUAUGCAAACUUGAGAUGAUAUUCCCUCCAUCAUUUUUUGACUCAAUGGAGCAUCUCCCUAUACAUAUACCGUUCGAGGCAAAAUCUGGAGGACCGAUCCAAUAUAGAUGGAUGUACCCAUUCAAAUGGUUAGAUAUUAUAGUUGCAAUGUAAUUCAUAUAUAAAAGUAUUUUCUAUGUUUUUCUUAAUUGAAAAUACUUGAUUAAUUCAAUGCAAGUACUUGUUUAAUCUCAAGAAAAAGGUUAAGAACAAGGCGCAUGUUGAGGCCUCGAUAUGUGAGGCCUAUAUUGUUGAGAAGAUCUCAACAUUUAUCUCGUACUAUUUCGAACCUCAUCUAAGAACGAGAAUCAAUCGCGUUCCACGGUAUGAUGAUGGCGGUGAAGUGCCUUCCAAUGGGAACUUGUCAAUAUUCUCCAAUACUGGACGACCCACACCUAAAAAUGUCGUAAGAGAAAUGUCAAGAGGCACAGAGAUAUAAGGAAACAAUGAUUCAUCAAAGAGGACAUGGCAAGACACAAAGAUGCGAUUGGUAUGAAGGGAAAAACAAAUAUACCCUUUAUAUUGGCUGGCAUAGCCCAAAAAUAUGCAUGUGGAAGUUUUUGGCUGUAGUUUAUUAGUGUUGUAAGACCGAAGUAAAGGGAAACAAGCACAACCAAAGAUGCGCAAGUGAUGGAUGACAGGGGAAGAACCAUACAGCAAGAAAAAAGGAGAUUUCAGCCGUAGAAGUUGACAAGGCAAUCUAUUAAUCAAAUAGAUGGAAGUAGCACAAGCAUGAAACCAGAAUUUAUGAGGGAGAUGGGCAGUUUGUAACAAAGUGACGGUGGUUUCCACAAUAUGUCUAUGCUUUCUUUCAGCAAGACCAUUUUGUUCAGGGGUAUAGGGACAUGACAUUUGAUGAACAAUGCCCUUGGUAUGAAGAUAGUUUUUGAAGUUGGUGCUAAUAUAUUCACCACCUCCAUCACUUUGAAAGAUCUUAAGUGUAGCAAAAAAUUGAGUAACUAAAAAUGUAUGGAAAUGGACAAAAAUAGAAUAAACCUCUCCUUUAUUGAUCAUUGGAAAAAUCCAAGAGUACCGUGUACAUUCAUCAACAAAACUAACAUAAUAUCUAAAGCCAUCAACAGACAUUACGGGUGCAGGGCCCCAAACAUCACUAUGUAUGAUUUCUAAAGGGUGAAUAGACUUAACUGCUGGAUAUGGAAAAGGAAGCUUAGUAAUUUUUCCCUCUAAACAAGUGGUACAAACAGACUUGGUAGGAUCUGAAGUGAAGGGAAUCUGAGACUAAGUGAGAAGAGUGGACGUGAUGCUAUUAGAGGGAUGACCAAAUCGCUUGUGCCAAAGACUGGUUUGAACCUGUUGACCAAGAUAGCAAGACUGAUUACGAUGGGAAGCUGAUGCAAGUUGAAAAGGUGUGUGGGAACUAGAAGAAACAGAAAAAGGAAUAGGAUAUAAACCAUUACUACACAGGCCCUUGAGAAGGACAUUCCCCGUGAAUUUGUCCUGAAUCCAAAAACCAAAGUCAUCACAAAUAAAUCGACAAUGAUUAUCUUUACACAGCCUAUAAACUGACAGCAGAUGUUGAGAUAGCUUAGGAACAUGCAACACUUGGUGUAAUUGUAAGGAGCAUUGUGGAAUAGUCAAAACAGAAAAGCCAAUACUAGAAAUGCUCAAACCUGAACCGCCUGUAGUGGUAAUAGCAUCAGGACCAGAGUAAGAAGUAGCCUCCUGAAGGUGAGACAAAUCAGAUGUCAUAUGAGCUGUGGCGCCAGUAUCAGCCACCCAAAUUGGUUCAGGAGGUGGAGGAAAGGUAGCAGCCAUAGCACUAAGAUUGAUGGAAGGAGGACGACCUUGAUAGGAGAAGUUGCCUCUAUGAUAACAUUGGAUGGCAGAAUGCCCAUAUUUCCAGCAAAUUUGACAUUGAACAGAAGAGGUAGGGGCUGAGGAUUGGUUGUGACGUUGAUAACAAUCGGCAGCAACAUGACCUCUCUUACCACAGAUUUGGCAAGUAGGCAUAUCAGUUCCAGGACCAAGAAUACCAGGAUUAGAGCUUGGUUGAGCAGGAUAAUGUCGAUGGCUAGAUUGGAAAGUAUGGCGACCUCUACCACGGCCCCUAAACUGAGAGCCACGGUGGUGAAAAUAACCACCAGUGUUAUGACCAUUGAAACCACUUUGAUAGCCGUUAGAACCUCCAUGGAAGCCAGAGGAAAAUUGAGAAGAUGGAGCUGACUUGAAGUUGGAAGAAAGAGGAUUAGAAUUACCUUCAUCAAGAACCAGAGCCUUGCCUUGAGACACUUGAUUCUGAACGUGCAUAGCAGAGACAAAUAGAGAAGAGGAAUGGGUCUGCUCAAUAGUAGCUUCUUCAGCAAGCAAUUGAGAGCGAAAAUCUUUAAGAGAUAACACAUUAUCUCUGCCUCGAACCAUACAUCGGAACGUGUUAUAGUCAGAAGAAAGGCCAUUGAGAGCCAAGAUCACAAUAUCUUCAUCUUCAAAAUAAACUCCAGCGGCAGAGAGAUGAUCACGGGCAUCUUUGAUUCUCUGCAGUUACUGAGACACGGGUUCUGAACCUUUCUUGAUAGUUUGAAGUUCACUCUUCAUUUGAAAUAUUCUUGCCUUGGUUACUGUAGAAAAACGAUCCUUCAAUUGAACCCACAUAUCAUGAGAACUGAUGCAGCCAAUGACAUAGGAAAUGGCAGUAGAAGAAAGAGUGGCAAUAAGUAGCUGCAUCAGUGCUCUGUCAUGCAUUUUCCAAAUCUGAUGAUCAUCAGAUUCAACACCCUCAAUAUCGGAAUCUGUAUAAAAUUGACUUGGACAUUUUCUGGAACCAUCAACAAAUCCUAGAAUUCCAUGACUUUCAAGAUGAAUUUUCAUUUGAAAUUGCCAAACGAGGUAGUUUGUAUCGUCAAGCUUCACUGUUAUAGCAGUAGAGAUUGCAGGAAGCAGAGAAGUGAUAGGAGAUUGAAUAAUCUGAAGUUGAGAGCUAGUCACCAUUUUAGAAUGUAGGAGAAAGCAGAAAAUUGAAGAUUAUAAUGUUCGGUGAAGUAAUAGAAAACUGGAGUUUUGAAGAAGAGAAUCAGUGAGGCAAUAUAUCAAAUAGCUGAUAGGCACAUCAAUAAGUGCACAAGAAUUUUAUGAAGAGGAUGAGAAUAAAGCCAAAAUUCAGAAGUUAAUGGCCACAAGAUCAAGAGUUCCAGUGCUCUGAUACCAUGAUAGACAGUAAUGUUUAUAUAGAAAUGAAAUAGAAAUGAAGAAAAAAAGCAGAGAGUGAAAAGAACGAAGAACAGAGAAUGAAUGAAUCUGUUAUGCACAGAGAAGCAGAAGACGAAUUCUAGCACUGUUUUAUUAUUUGCUUUUGCUUAAAUGUUUUCAUUACUCAUACUCAGUUUAUAUAUGUAGUAUUGGAAGAUACUAUACGAAGAAUAUUCUUCCUUUUACACACAAUAUAAAUGCUAACAGAUUCUCCUUUUGUAACAAAACUACUAACAGCAUUGUAACAAUAUUAAUUGCUAAUCUUCUGACACUUGGCAUCAUUAGGAUCGUUGAUAUCUUUACAGUAAGACCUUUUUCUUUGAGUGCUUGAAAUUGUUUAAACCCCAUGAAGCUGCAAGCAGAGAUAGUAAUGAACAAUUCAAUAGGGAUCCCGAGCAUCUCAGCAGCAGUGAUAGCGACAGGCAUGAAACCAUCAGAGACGAUGCAAGUCACAGGGGGAACAUCAGGUGAUGCUGUGUCAUUCAGCUUGUCUAGCAGGUCAUGAAAUGGAGCCAACAAGUUCUUACUGGCAGCUUCACAAAGUCCAGGCAAAUCUUGGGUGGCAUUCUCAUCCGAGGGAGGGAGGCCAUCAGGAAUGGACUCGAACCGAAAGUCCGGCAAACCUUUCAGGGAAUCAGGACCUCUAGAUUUAAGUAAACGCUUAUGGUUAAACUCUGUGUUAACAAAGGUGAUGUGAAAACCUUUGUGAUGUAGUAGUUUUGCUAGUUUAAGCAUUGACUUUAUAUGGCUUUGAUAAGGGCUAGGGAGACAGACUGCAUGAGGCUUAUGAUCAGCUAAAAUUUUACAAGUCAUGCCUCAAGCUCGCUCUUUCUUUCUCUUUUUCCUCUGCUACUUGAGUUUCUGCUAUUCUAUGUUAAAGUGAACACACCCAUCACCAACUUAUAUUUAUCAAUUUUGAAGGAUAAAACACUGCUAAAUUAGAAGUUGUUGUCAAGGGAUUGUUUUAUUUAUUUUCGACAUCGCAUGGAUUAAUUAAUUUUUCUCAUAAAAUUUCGUGACUGAGUUAUAAUUAACUCUCAAUCUGUGGAACUUUUAAUAGUGACCAGUAUUGCGACAGAUGUUCUCUUGAUUUUGGAGUCAUUGUCUGAUCUUUAAUUUUGUCAAAUGCAAAGAAAUCUGAAACACACUUGUUUUGUUUAUUCCUAUCCUCACACUAUUUUUCUCCUCAUGAGCCAAAAUAUGAUUAGAAAAGCACCCAAGUGGACAAUAAGCCAAAUUGGCGGAAGAAUCAAAAGCAAACAGAUGAAGACAACUUAUAGAAACAUAAACCAGAGACAAAAUAAUUUAUUAAACCGUUGGCUUUAAUGGACUCUCUUGUCCUUUGGAAAAGAUUCCACAUUCAACAGGAUAUCGACACUACUCACCUUGAAAACAACACUUUGUUUAUAUUAAACUUUUUUUUUAUUCCAUCAUGAAAGAACUUCCGUCACCAACGUGUCUACAUUCAUGGAUGAUAUUUAAUAAGUGUGUGUGUUCGCGGAAUUAUGUUUUUUAAAAUAUUUUAGUUAAAAUUAAUUUUUUUAUGUUUUUAGAUAAUUUUAAUGUAUUAAUGUCAAAAUUAAUUUUUAAAAAAUAAAAAAUAUUAAUUUGAUGCAUUUCUGAGCGAAAAAUAUUUUAAACUACAAUCGCUACCACACUCCUAACCACAAGAUAAUGUUUGGGUAUGAUAAUAAUUGUUUUUUAAAGUGUUUUUUGUUUGGAAAUAUUUUAAAAUAAUAUUUUUUUUAUUUUUUAAAAAAUAUUUUUAACAUCAAUAUAUAAAAAAUUAAUUUUAAAUAAAAAAAAAUCAAAUUUUAAUGAAAAAAAUCAAAUUUUAAUGAAAAAAAUCAAAUUUUAAUCAAAAACUAUUUGUAACUGAAUUCUAAACAGAGAUUUAACAGCAGAAUACAUGAGAUAUUAUUGGAAAUAUAUGCAUCCACCACAAUAACUUUAGAAAACAAUACGGGAAUAUAGUGUUUCUCUGUCUUGUUUUGAGCUUCAAUUAUUUUUUUGUUAUACGUCAUAAGUUUGGUUUCGUGACAAGAGCACUUCUUUCACCAACAUGUCUAAAUUCAUGGUUGAUGAACCUCUGGGGCCACUGGCCUCCUCUGCUAGUUUUUUCCAUUCUGUGGAUUUCUCCUUCAUUUUCUUACCUCUCUCCCCCUCCAUCAACUCUCUCACAAGCUUCUCCACAUUAUCUCUUUUCACAUUGCUAUCAAUCUCCAUUCCAAUUCCCCACUCAGUGCAUGUAUACCUACAAUUUGUUUGUUGAUCACCAGCGAAUGGCCAACAAAGCAUAGGCACACCAGAAGAAAUGCUCUCGAUUAUGGAAGUCCAUCCACAAUGUGUUAGAAAACCUCCAACUGAUGGGUGGUUGAGGACUUCCUCUUGUGGACACCAACUACAAAUAAAGCCCCUUUCUUUAGUUUCUUCAGUGAAUUCUGGUGGCGAUAUCGCGGAGUCGCCGGUGAUCAUGUCUGGUCGUAUUAUCCAUAAAAAUGGGUGACCACUUUUAGAAAGUCCCAUUCCCAAUUCAACGAGCUGCUCUUUUGUAGCCACUGCUAUGCUACCAAAAUUCACAUAAAUUACCGAGUUGGGUUUCUUGGAAUCAAGCCAUUGGAGACACUCAACUUCUUCUUUCCAUAGGUUACAAUCAAUAGAAUUUAGAUCAUCUUCUUGGAUUUGAUUGAGAAGUAAUUGAAGUGGACCGAUUGUGUAGACACGAGGGAAGAUAGGAUAAAGGGCAGUCAGGACUUCUUGCUCUAAAGCAUCGAAAGUAUGGAAAAUGACCGCAGAAGCUGAAGGAGCUCUCUCAGCGCAUCCUAGGCAGAAGUUGAACAUAAAAUCAGUUGCAUCUGUUGUACGAACAAAACUUGGAAGAUCUCUUAUCCGUAUAUCUUUCAUUCCUGGAAUCCAGUCUACUACCUUUUCCAGGAAGCCAUUUGUUAAAAAGCUCUCAUCUGAAACAAAAUUGAGCAAAUCAGUAUCUUUUAAUCGAUAGAGCUAUAUAAAUAGCUAGCAGUGAUUAAGCAGACAGGUAACGAAUUUCUUUAUAUGUAUAAGCAGAGACUCACUGAUACAAACUCCUAAAAGAACUAAAAGCGGUCUGAGCACAUUGUAGAGAACAUAUGACCUCUUCGAUGAGAGAAGAAAAUGUUGGAGAAUAAUAUAAAUUAUAUCUUGAAAUUUCAUCUAAUAAUUUAAGCUAUUGGGUUGAAUUGGUUCUUUGAUAUGAUAUUAGAGUUUUGAUAACCAAGUUGUCACGAGUUCGAAUCUCACCACCUCAUCUAUCUGAUAAAAAUUAAAAACAAAAUAGUAUGGGCCUUUGUAAAUUUUAAACCUAAAAACUUUCACUUGAAUAUGUAUAUUAGAGAAUAAUAUAAAUUAUAUUAAUUUUAAAACUUCACCUAAUAAUUUAAGCUAUUGAUUUGAAAUAGUUUUUUUUAUAAGAAAUAACUGAAUUAUAUAUAAUUCAUAUAAAAUCCAUGCAUAAUUUAUAUAAUACCCGGUGGACUUUCCAGUGAAUUAGAUGAAAAUCGAAGAAUGGAUUUUGUUUCUGGUAACAUAAAUAAUUUUUGCUUUUAUAAAUAGUUUUUUUACCGAUAUUUUAGACUAAAAGAGAUAUCAAUUUUUUACUUUUAUAUUGAAAUUGGAUUUGAAAAAUUUAUCUUACCAUAAUAAUUAGUUUUAUGGUUUCCUACUUUUAGAUCCCAGAAAUUAGUUUUUUUUUUUUUUUUUUUACCACUAUCUAUCCUUUAAACGGCAAGAACAACAAAUGAGCUUUUAAUUUUUCUCUUAUUCAUACCUUUCAGUGGUGUAAGACCUCUUUCUUUGAGCGCCUUGUAUUGUUUAAAGCCCAUGAAGCUGCAAGCGGAGAUGGUAAAUAACAGCGCAAUCGGAAUUUGGUGCAUCUCGGCAGAAGUGAUAGCUACUGGCAUGAAACCAUCAGAAAGGAUGCAGGUCACUGGGGGCGAAUCAGAAGCUGCUGUGUCAUUGAGCUUGUCAAGAACUUCAUUAAACGGAUCCAGCAAAUUCUUCGAGGCAGCCGCAACAGCUACAGAGAUAUCUGGGAUGACAUUCUCAUCUGAAGGAGGAAGGCCAUCAGGAAUGGACUCGAACCGAAAGUCGGGCAACCCAUUCAGGGAAUCAGGACCUCUAGAUUUAAGUAAACGCUUAUGGUUAAACUCUGUGUUGACAAAGGUGAUGUGAAAACCUUUGUGAUGUAGUAGUUUUGCUAGUUUAAGCAUUGACUUUAUAUGGCUUUGAAAUGGGCUAGGGAGACAGACUGCAUGAGGCUUAUGAUCAGCUAAAACACUAUAAACCAUCUCUCUAACUCACUCUUCGUUUCCCUGUUUGCUCCAAGUUCUCUGCAAUUUAGAGAUUCUACUCUUACAUAUAGCAAUAGUUAAGUUAUGCUAUUGCUGCUACAGUGUUUUUUUAUAAUAUUUUUUAUAUCAAUAUAUAGGACUUCUAAUUCAAGUCGCAUACGGCAGCAUUUAUUUUAUAUUUAAUCUUAAAGAUAUUAUGGAAAUCUGAAACCACAUGCUUCUUUCUCUACUUGCUCUUCGAUCUGUGCAAUUUAGAGAUUUUUUUUUUUUUUUUUGAUAAUCAUCGAGAGUAUAUUAAGAAAGCCAUAAAGCCAAUAGUCAAAGAGAAAUAUAAGGGAUAUGAGAAAAUAAAAAACUUAUUUACUACAACAAACAACAAAAAGACUGCCUAAGAUUUCUUAUUACACCACAAUUUGAUGCCAUCAGAAGAUCUUAAGAGGUCAUUUCCUGUAUAAGUGAAGUUUGAAUCUUGAGUAUGCAACCAAAUAGCAACCCGAUGAAGGAUGGUGGAGAAACAAUCAAACAAGUUUAAAGUUCCCUCCUCAAAAACAAUUUUGUUCCUCAGCAACCAAAUACCCCAAAUAGUACUACUUGAAAUUAGUCUCCAAGUUGAUCUUUGGAAUUUGCCAUGUACUAUUUCGGGCCACUGCAGAAGCAGCGAGUCAAGUGUUCUCGGUAAAUAAUAUUGGAUACCCCACCAAUCCAAAACUUUCAUCCAAACACUCCUAGAAAAGUUACAAUGUAUAAAAAGAUGCUCUGAGGUUUCCAAAUCUGAGCUGCAAAAGACACAUGAAGCUUGUGUGGCAGACAAAACAGUCCGUUGAUGAAGAAAAGCUCUUGUACUAACUUUGUCCUGUACUGCUAACCAGAGAAAUACCUGAACUUUCGGAGGGGCCCCUUUAAUCCAAACAUUUGCUUCGAAAACUCUAUCAUUCGCAGAGGAGGUAUUAUCAAUUAGAGUGCAACAGGAUUUAACUGAGAAGUUUCCAUCAGAAUUGCAUGGCCAAGUUUGUCAUCUUUUCCUUACUGAAUUUUCAUUGGCUCUAGCAUUGAGAGCAAAUAAUGAUAUUGUUGCUCUUCAUUGGCUCCAGCAUUGAGAGCAAUUUAGAGAUUCUACUCUUACAUACAGCAAUAAUUACGUUAUGCUAUUGCUGCAACUAUUUGUUUGUCUGCGAGACUGAAUCCAAAAUUGGCCCACAUGGCAUACAUUUAGUCCUUGUGUUUAUCAAGAUUUAUUUAAUUAAUUAGUCGUCAUAGUUUAGUAAUUAAAUGAUAAAUUUCUUUUCAGGGUUAACUACUAUAAUUAUUAAAUCUAGUUUGGUUUGGCAUGGUCGGUAGAUCUACCUGGUAAUCUAUUGACAUGAAGUCUAGCUUAUUCGAAGUUUCAUUUUGAACCAUUAAUCCAAUUAACUUAGUCAAAUUAAGUUAAGUUCAGUCAAAUUAACUGUAUUUUUUAAAAAAAUUUAUAUAAAAUAACAUUAUUUCAUUUAAAAACUAAAUGAUAUUAUUUUAAAGUUGAUUCAGAGUUUUAAUCUAAUAAACUCAUGACUUGAUAUUGGAUCAAGACAAGCCUUGAGAAAAGUCUCAUAACUAUGUUCAUUAUAACUUGAUCCCUAUAUGUAUUAAGAUUUAAUUAAUUACAUCCUCGUGGUUUAAUAAAUUAAAUAUUUAGUCAUGUUUGUAAAUCUAUUUAUAAUUUAAUUAUUUUUGUAAAUUUCAUUUUUUUUUUCUAAUUUAUUUUAAAAAAAUAGAAAAAUAAACAAUAUGAAAAGAUAGAUGAGAAAAGAAAACACUUUUUUUUGGACAAAAUACUACUAAAUUAAACAUGACUGUCAAAAUAGUAUUUUAUUAAUUUUCAAUAUCACUGAAAUUAAUUAAUUUUUUGAUAAAAUAGUAGCCACUUUGUUCUCUUAAUUUUUAAGUCACUGUCUGAUAUUAUUUAGUUUUUCAAAUGAACAGAAAUCUGAAACCACACGUUUUAUUUAUUCAUUUCCUUAACUUGUUUUAUUUAUUCAUUUCUCUUGAUAAGCUAAAAUAUGAUUAGAAAAACACCCAAGCGUGCAUGAAGCCAACUUGGCGGAAGAGUCAAAAGCAAACCGCAAACAAAAAUCAUAAAAUGAUUAGAUAAUCAAACAAGCUAGAAUAUUUGUUUAGUUUGUAAUAAUUUCGACAAUGAAUCUUCAUAUUCAAGAUAUUUUAGAAUAAAAAUGAUUUAUUUGAUAAUUAAUUGAUAUCUAAGUUCAAGCAAUUUGAUCUAUUUUUUUUAGUUAAGGUGUCUAAUGAUUUGAUAUGGAAAAGUCAAGGGGUUGGUAACUAGUAGUAGGUGAUACUUGGUAAGUCAAGGUAACCAAUAGCUAUAUUAGUAGGAGCAGGUGAUGCCAAGUGAACAGUAGUUGUGUUUUGUAGUAGCAGGUGAUGUCUGGUAAUCUAGGUGACCGGUAGCUAUGGUAGUAGCAAGUGACUGGUAGCUGAUACCUACAAAAAAAAAUUUUAUGGACGUGAGGACUCUUCGAUGAUAAAAUCAAUAACUUUAUAAAGAGAGAAAGUGAAAUGAUAUUUUAUAGAGAUAAAUUCUAAAAAUAUAUGUGCUAAAAAUGUUAAUAAUGAAGAGAUUAUGAAUCUUGAGCUUGAAAGAUUCAUUAUGUAUUUAUAACUCAUGAAUCUUAUCUUUCUGUUAAGAGAAGGGGUUGAAUUGUGAUCUCAUUGUUGAUGCUGGGGAGUACGCCCAGCUAGGCACCCAUGCACUCGACGUAUGAUCAGUGCACUGCAUAAGCGUACAUCUUUCUUUUCCUAUCUAGUAACCACCAACUCUUCGGUUAUUUCAUAUAUACCUCUACGUUAAUAUUACCAUUUUAAAAAAUUAUUUCUAUAACCAUUUGAUGUAUUUCAAACUUUUUAAUAGUUAUGAUAGCUGUAAACAUUUUUGUGGAAGUUAUUCUUAACAAAAUUGAAUAUGUGUCAAAAUAAUCUACAUCUUGUUAUCUAAAAUAUUUAACAACAAGUCUAACUUUAUAUUUGUCAAUAUUUGCAACUUUUAUCUUUGUUUUAAAGAUCCAAAUAUGUUCUAAUAAUUUAUUUCUAGAAGAAAAAUCCACUAGUUUUUCAUGUAUUAUUAUUCAUAAUAGAUUCAAUUUUAUUAUUAACUAUCUCCUUCCAAAAACAUCGGAGUAUGUUCGAUGUUCAUUUUCUAAUAAGUAUAUUCAAAAAUCUAGAUAAUAUUUUACCUUUUUAGUUCUUCUAGGCUUAACUCCAUGAUUUUUCAAUCGAUGAUGAUUACUUAGCAAUGUAAAAGAAUCAACACUAAACAUUAGCCUGCCAUAUUAUUUAGCAAUUUAAAAAGCUUAGGAUAUGAUGUGUGUUUAUAUCAGAUAUUAUUAAGCAAUAUAUCAACCCUAAUCACCUUGAAAACAAUACAUUUGUCUUUUGCUUAAAUUAUCUUUUAAUAAAGAAGCAAAUUUUUUUCUUAUGACAACAGCACUUCCGUCACUAACUUGUCUAAGUUCAUGGAUGAUGAACCACCGGGCCCAGUGGCCUCCUCAGCUAAUUUUUUCCACUCCAUGGCUUUCUUCUUCAUUUCUUUAGCUUUCUCUCCCUCCAUAAACUCUCUCACAAUCUUCUCCACUUUAUCUCUUGUCACAUUGCUAUCAAUCUCCAUUCCAAUUCCCCACUCAGUGCAUGUGUACCUACAGUUUGUUUGUUGAUCACCAGCGAAUGGCCAACAAAGCAUAGGCACACCAGAAGAAAUGCUCUCAAUUAUGGAAGUCCAUCCACAAUGGGUUAGAAAACCUCCAACUGAUGGGUGGUUGAGGACUUCCUCUUGUGGACACCAACUACAAAUAAAGCCCCUGUCUUUAGUUUCUUCAGUGAAUUCUGGCGGCAAUAUCGCACAGUCGCCAGCGAUCAUGUCAGGUCUUAUGAUCCAUAAAAAUGGGUGACCGCUUUUUGCAAGUCCCAUUCCAAAUUCAAUGAGCUGCUGCUUUGUAGCGACUGCUACGCUGCCAAAAUUAACAUAAACGACAGAGUUGGAUUUCUGGGAAUCCAGCCAUUGGACACAUUGAACUUCUUCUUUCCAUAGAUUACUUCCAAUAGAAUUCAGAUCAUCUUCUUGCAUUUGAUUGAGAAGCAAUUGAAGUGGACCAAUCGCAUAGACACGAGGAAACAUGGAGUAAAGGGCAUUCAGAACCUCUUGCUCCAAAGCAUCAAAAGUAUGGAAAAUAACGGCAGAACCUUCAGAAGCCCUCUCAGCACAUUCCACGCAGAAGUUAAACAUAUAAUCAUUUGGAUCUGUUGUUCGAACAAAACUGGGAAGGUCCCUUAACUUUAUAUCUCUCAUUCCUGGGAUCCAAUCUACCACUUUGUCCAAGUAGCCAUUUGUUAAAAAGCUCUCAUCUGCAAACAAAAAUUGAACGUACAUAUAGCUUUUAGUAACUGAAUAAAAGUGGCUGCAGAAACAGAGAAAAUAUAUAUAUAAAAAAAGAAGGUUUCCUAGCUUGUACCCCUAGUGAAAAGAAUGAAUAAUUAAGGGCAACAGUUUACUUACAGGAGAAAAUAUUUUGAAUUAAUGAACUAAUAAAAAAACCUUAAUGAAAUUAUAAUUACGUUUUUUUCCUUGUUCAUACCUUCUAGUGGUGUCAGACCUUUUUCUUUGAGUGCUCGAAAUUGUUUAGUCCCCAUGAAGCUGCAAGCAGAGAUAGUAUAGAACAAUGCAAUAGGAAUUUCGUGCAUCGCAGCAGCAUCGAUCGCGACUGGCAUGGCACCAUCAGAGACGAUAUAAGUCACUGGGGGGACAUCAGAAGAUGCUGUGUCAUUCACCUUGUCAAGCAGGUCAUUAAAUGGACCCAAUAAGUUCUUCCUGGAAGCCUCACAAAUUGCAUAGAAAUCGUGGGCGGCAUUCUCAUCCGGAGCAGGGAAGCCAUCUGGAAUGGAUUCAAACCGAAAAUCGGGCAAACCAGUCAGGGAAUCAGGACCUCUAGAUCUAAGUAAACGUUUGUGGUUAAACUCUGUAUUGACAAAGGUUAUGUGAAAACCUUUGUGAUGUAGUAGUUUCGCUAGUUUAAGCAUUGAGUUUAUGUGGCUCUGAGCUGGGUGGGGAAUGCAAACUGCAUGAGGCUUAUCAACUAAAAUAUUAGAAGCCAUCUCUCUAAUCUCCCUCUCUCUCUCUCUCUCCUCUGUUGUCCUCGCAGUAGAGAUUCUGGCCUUUGUAUAGGCUUUAUCAACUUAGGAUCACACUGUUGGUGGGAUUGAAAUUAAAGAAGACAAUGCUGUAAAUAAUGAAGAUUAUCAACUUUAUUAAUUUUUUUUUUAUAAAUAUAAAGUAUAUAUAAGGUUUUUUAUUCUAUAUUAGAAAAAUAAGAUCUCCAUAUAAUAUUUAUAUAGUAAAAUUUGAUAUAAAAUAGUAAUUAAUAAAGAAAAUGAUAAUUGGCUGGCAUGUAUAAGAUUGAGCUAGAAAAAAAUAUCUGAUUACCCGUGCAUAGCUAUAUAUACUUUUGUUUUCAGUAAUAAUUUAUUUUUGAUUUUUUUUUUUUGUGUUUAUUAUUUUGAUCUUUAUCUAACUGUUUUUAUAAUUCUUAUUUUUUUAAAAAAAACUUGUUGAAUUCUAAAACAGUCUUGUUUUUGAAAAAAAUAUCUUCAAGGAUAGAUACUGCAGGCCUUUUUUGUUCUUCGUUAAUUUAUUACAACAGAGACUGGUGGUGCUUCUGGAAGAUUAAAUCGAUCAAAAAACGAACUUCAAUUUAGAUUUUGAGAUCAAAUACAAAACAAAGACAACUCUCUUCAAGCUCUCUCUCUCUCUCCCCUUCACUUUUCUCUCACCCAACCUCUUUAUUAACAGUGGAAAUAGAGAAACCAUCCCCAUUCUCAAUUUAGAAUAUGAUUAGAAACACACCCAGGUGGACAUGAAGUCAGCUAGACGGAAGAAUCAAAAGCAAGCCGCAGGUCGAGAAUUCUUCAGAAGAAACAAAAACCAGAGCACAGUAAUUUAUUAAAGCAGUGGACACAAAUCCCUUGAGCGGACUCUCUUGUCCUUCGGUAAAAUUACUACAGCAAGUACUGCAUCAUUUAGGAAAAAGACUCAGCAGUCAACACUAGCCAGCCAUAAUAUUUAGCAAUAAUUUAUAUCAGAAAAGCUUAGGAUAUCGUAUAUGUUUAUAUGAAAUAUUAUUAAACAACGAAUCAACACUACUCGCCUUGAAAACAACACAUUUGUCUUGGGCUUUAAUUAUCUUUUAAUAAAGAAACUUUUUUUUUUCUUCAUGAUGAAAGCACUUCCGUCACUAACGUGUCUAAAUUCACCACUGGGGUCAGUGGCCAAUUUUUCCAUUCUGUGACUUUUACAGAAUUAAAGCAUAGUGUGAAAGCCAAAAAAAAUAGUAAUAAUAAAUAAAAUAACAUAAUUAAUUAGGCUUUUUUUAUAUAUCCUUUUACUAUUUAAGAGUAUUUUAAGUGAAGUGAGUAUAUAAUAAAGAAAAUAAAAAAUUAUAGUAAUUUACACUCUAUUUUAUCAUACUAUAAAAACUUUUAAUACACUACGGAAAAAGAAAUAAAAAGCUAAUAACCACCUUGUUUUAUGAAUUCAUUCAAGUGGCUCACAGCAUACAUUUAGUCCUCAUAUUUAUUGUUUUGAUAUAUUAGUGUUAAAAAUAAAUUUUAAAAAAUAAAAUAAAUAUUAUUUUAAUAUAUUUUUAAAUAAAAAAAUAUUUUAAAAAAUAAAUUAUUCCAUCUAGACUUUACAAUAUACCCGACUCAGCGGAAGAGUCAAAAGCAAAAAGCACACAAUUCUUAAGAUGAAGACAACGUGUAGAAACAAAAACCAUAAAAUAAUUAGAUAAUCAGAGAGCGAGUACAAUCAUAGCUUUUCUGUCUCUCUCUUUGAAAAUUGAGGCACAGAGAGAGAAAGGAGAGAGAACUCGCAGGAGAGAGGGCUUGAGCUGGAAGGGGAAAAAACUGAUGCAUAGAGGGAGUGUUUCCUGCCGAGAGGGAGCAGUGCUUGAUUUAUUUUUAUAAAUUAAAAAUUUAAUAACGUUACAAUCAGAAAAUUUGUUUUGUAAAUUUAAUAAUUUAUAAAAUUAAUUUAAUAUAAUAUGUAAGACUAUUUAAAUAGAAAAUCCUCAAAUCUAAUUAAGAAAAAAAAAUCUAAAACUAAGAAAAUAAAUGUAAAUUAUUUGGCAAUGCAAACACCAUAAUCACCUUGAAAAUAAUACAUUUGUCUUGAGAUUUAAUUAUUUUUUUCUGAUAAACAGACCAUAAUAUUAUUUUUAUGACAAAAGCACUUCCGUCACCAGCCUGUCUAAAUUCAUGGAUGAUGAACCACCGGGCCCAGUGGCCUCCUCGGCUAAUUUUUUCCACUCCAUGGCUUUCUUCUUCAUUUUCUUCCCUUCUUCUCCUUCCAUCAACUCUCUCACUUGUUUUUCCACAUUUUCUCUCGUCACAUUGCUAUCAAUCUCCAUUCCAAUUGCCCACUCAUUGCAUGCAUACCGACAGUUUGUUUGCUGAUCACCGAAGGAUGGCCAACAAAGCAUAGGCACGCCAGAAGAAAUGCUCUCAAUUGUGGAACCCCAACCACAAUGUGUUAGGAAACCUCCAACUGAUGGGUGGUCGAGGACUUCCUCUUGUGGACACCAGCUUGAAAUAAAGCACCUGUCUUUAGUUUCUUCAGUGAAUUCUGGCGGCAAUAUCGCACUGUCGCCAGCGAUCAUGUCAGGUCUUAUGAUCCAUAAAAAUGGGUGACCGCUUUUUGCAAGUCCCGUUCCAAAUUCAAUGAGCUGCUGCUUUGUAGCGACCGCUACGCUGCCAAAAUUAACAUAAACGACAGAGUUGGGUUUCUGGGAAUCCAGCCAUUGGAGACACUCAA
rnacentral:lncRNA from 1 species